rnacentral:rRNA from 2 species
UCCUCCAAGGCUAAAUACUCCUGACUGACCGAUAGUGAACCAGUACCGUGAGGGAAAGGCGAAAAGAACCCCGGCGAGGGGAGUGAAAAAGAACCUGAAACCGUGUACGUACAAGCAGUGGGAGCACCCUUUGGGGUGUGACUGCGUACCUUUUGUAUAAUGGGUCAGCGACUUAUAUUCUGUAGCAAGGUUAACCGAAUAGGGGAGCCGGAGGGAAACCGAGUCUUAAUUGGGCGUUAAGUUGCAGGGUAUAGACCCGAAACCCGGUGAUCUAGCCAUGGGCAGGUUGAAGGUUGGGUAACACUAACUGGAGGACCGAACCGACUAAUGUUGAAAAAUUAGCGGAUGACCUGUGGCU